rnacentral:lncRNA from 1 species
AGCCCCCCUCUCUUUUCUUCUUCCGCUUCCAGCAUAUACACAUUUCUUCACCAUUUUUCCACCAUUUCUAGCCAUAACCACCACCCACAUCUCUACCAACCAACAAAACUUCCAUCCCCUCCCUCUCUUCUCACCGGUGACCCAUUCCUUUCCAUUUUCUUGCCGGAAUAUCGUUGGAGCAAGGGAGAAGAAGGACGUCACCUGCAGCUCCUAUUGUUUUGCUGGCCUCUUUUCUCAAAUUCCCGCCGGAUUUAGACUCUCCACCAUCAAAAAUCUUAAGUCAGCCCUUCCCCUCUCUCAUUCCGUCGUCGACAGCCUCUACACCGCGUCAUCAGAAUAGAUUCUUCUCCAUCGCGAUUUGGCAUUUUCCAGCGAGAUUUAGGCUGCGAUUUGGUAUAUUCAAGGGUCCAUGUGUCUCAAGCUUCCCAUCGGGGCUUUCGGAUUUGAAUUUCGACACAGUUGACUGUACCAACUUUCAGACUCCGUUACUUAUUGGACGCCGAAAUUUUAGAUUUUUGGCUCAAUAUAAUUUAUUUGGAUUCAAAAAUAUUAUUUAAAAUUAUUAGUAAUAUUUAAUUCAUUAA